rnacentral:tRNA from 1 species
AGCCUUGGGGUGUAAUCACAUAAAAUUGCAAAUUUUAAGAAGAACCCUAAAAGGGUUCCAGGGCUU